rnacentral:rRNA from 1 species
CCUACGGGGGGCAGCAGUGGGGAAUAUUGGACAAUGGGGGCAACCCUGAUCCAGCCAUGCCGCGUGUGUGAAGAAGGCCCUCGGGUUGUAAAGCACUUUCAGUGAGGAAGAACGCCUGGUGGUUAAUACCCAUCAGGAAAGACAUCACUCACAGAAGAAGCACCGGCUAACUCCGUGCCAGCAGCCGCGGUAAUACGGAGGGUGCGAGCGUUAAUCGGAAUUACUGGGCGUAAAGCGCGCGUAGGUGGCUUGAUAAGCCGGUUGUGAAGGCCCCGGGCUCAACCUGGGAACGGCAUCCGGAACUGUCAAGCUAGAGUGCAGGAGAGGAAGGUAGAAUUCCCGGUGUAGCGGUGAAAUGCGUAGAGAUCGGGAGGAAUACCAGUGGCGAAGGCGGCCUUCUGGACUGACACUGACACUGAGGUGCGAAAGCGUGGGUAGCAAACAGGAUUAGAUACCCGAGUAGUC